rnacentral:rRNA from 1 species
AAUUUUCGGCAAUGGGCGAAAGCCUGACCGAGCAACGCCGCGUGAGGGAAGAAGGUCAUAGGAACGUCUCCCUUUGUCAUCGGGGACGAUGAUGACGGUACCCGAGGAGGAUGCCCCGGCUAGCUACGUGACAGCAGCCGCGGUACUACGUAGGGGGCGCGCGUAGUCCGGAAUUACUGGGCGUAAAGGGCGCGUAGGCGGUCUAAUAAGACAGAUGUGAAAUUAUUGGGCUUAACCCGGGAUGUGCAUUUAAAACUGUUGGACUUGAGGGCAGGAGAGGAAAGCGGAAUUCCAAAUGUAGCGGUGAAAUGCGUAGAUAUUGGGAGGAACACCAGUGGCGAAGGCAGCUUUCUGGACUGUACCUGACGCUGAGGCGCGAAAGCCAGGGGAGCGAACGGG